UUAAAUAAACCACCACUGAGUGAAUUCAUUUCACUAGUGAAACGAUGAAAUUUCUGUAUAAUUGACUUGGGGGUCAAUUCAGCUUCUUCCAGUUAUUCUGAACUUCGUAUCAUGGUUCCAACAAUGAUAAUUUAUUUAGCAGGCAGGUCUUUAGAAGAAAAUACUAGUUGAGCAAAACUACAUUGUAUCCUGAUAAUCAACAUGAAUUUCACACUGCUCCUUAAGAAUACACUGAACAGGCUCAGAAAUAAAACCAUGUACUUGGUUAUUUUAGUGAAUAGAGUGAAGUUCUUAGAAUCAGGCCUUGGUCUACGGGCCUGAAGGGUCUUCACAGGAAUAAUGUGAGAGAGAUUCAAUGGUUUGCAAAUAGCAGUCAUUCAAUUAACUCUUCAUAUAUCUUUUAAGCUAGUUGUUGGCACCAGAAAUGCUUAGGUGUAUUUAUCUCCUUGGAUAUAUACAAGUUAGAAAAUGGUUCUUAGUUUUUUCUCAUUGAAGAGGAGCACAGUGAAAAGAAUGCAGAAGAGGACUUGGCCUUGGAUUUAAUAUUGAUACCAGAAAAUGCAAGACAUCUUCCCAUUGGAGCUGGAAGAGCACACCGCUAGGAUAACAAAAGGAUACAUGCCCUCUUCUAGGGCUGCCAACUUAAUGCCAGACAGGACAUUGGAGCGAUCGCGGUGCUGAGCCACAAUCAAGGCCAACUAGGAGGAAGAAUCAUUAGAUAGGGGGAAGCAGGAGCAGUUUCAAAAGGAGGUGAUGAAAUAAAAGGACACCUCCCAAACUCAAAUCUGAAGUAAAAUAAAAAGGAGCAACAGGAAGAACACAAAGUUGACUACAGAAUGAGACCCCUGAGGAAGGACUAUUCUGAAUCCUCCCUAUACCCUGCCUCUUCCACAUACACUCAGGUUUGAUGGUAUGCUGAGGUCUCCCUCAAGGAAGGCUGGACUGCUGCAAGUUCUCUCCUGUAUAUCUUGCUUCUAGAGCUGUGAAUAAACCACCUCUGCCCCAGUGGCCAGAAUCAUCUGAUAUAAGAAAGAGAAAAGUUUCUUCUAUAAGAAGCUAAAAUCAGUCCACAAUUUUAAAAAACACAAAGGCAAGAGGAGGCUGGAGACCUCAGGCUUAGACCCUCAUCUCUAUCCUGCCAGUGGGACCAUCCACCACAGAGUAACCUGUACUCAAUGAUUAAAGACAAAAUUCCAAGUUUUAAUACAACUGGGACAUCUCUUCUGGCAGCUGGACUGCCUGAAAAAAAUAUAAUUUUUUUUUGGAGAGUUGGACUGACAGAAAUAUAAUUAUCUUUCCUGAAAAGAGAUUUUAUUUUGUUCUAGUAAACAUUAGGAAAAUAAGCUGAAAUUAAUCUAGAUGAGUACAGAGAUGGGUGCAGCUUCAGUACAUAAUGUAAUCAAAAUGCAACUUCAAAACAGGACCACAUACAUCUAUUUCUUCCCCCACCUCAAACAACUACACGGCAGUAAAGGGAUUUUAGAAAGAGCUAUGAGACAACAGGGGAUGAAAAGUUCAAUAACUCGGAGUUCCCGUCUUGGCGCAGCAGAAACAAAUCCAACUAGGAAA